AUCCUCCCAGAUCCAAAUACCUCCAAGCACCGCACACGACUUGGUCCGCGUGACCACACGAGCCGAAGCCCCACCUCGUCGUCGCCUUCCUCCAUGCCCGCGGCGCCCAUGCCCCGCCGGCCAACCGCCUCGCCCCAACCCCGCUGCCGUCCGUGCUCCAGCCAACUCUAACAGACGCCGAUAACUUCCUUCCCGCUGCAGCAACCCCAGGGACAGGUGUGCCUGUUGUCCAGGAGCUCCUCCUGAGCCGAAGCAGGAGAGCCCAAGGACGCGUGCGCCUCUGACACCUCCAACUGCCUGCUGUGCGAGCCUGGCUGGCUCCUCACCGGUGACCACAAGGAAACCACAGAGCCGCCCCCCGGGAUGUGUACAUUCGUGCCGCCCCAUGGAGUUCACCGCCGCCGGAGUUUCGUGUUGCCUCUGCUCUGUUUCCUAUCAACGAGGACGCGCUCCUUUUCGAGAGCCCCCGGCCGGCCUGCCUUCCCAGCUCCACUGACGGCCAAUUCAGGCCAAGGUCAGCCCCCCUAGAAGCCCCCUGCCUCCAGGAACGUGCACGCAUGCUUUUUUCGCGACCUCGCUGGUGCCCUUAUGCUGCUAUAGUUGUCGCUCUGCUCGCCGUCAUCGCCGACAAGUUCCUAGCGACAAAUGUUUCAGGUACAUGUAAAGUGAUAUUAAGACAUCAGCACGAUGAUUGUGCUAUUGAAGUUUCCUUCUUCAUCA